GACGCACGCUGGCGGCGUGCCUAAUACAUGCAAGUCGAACGCAGUGGGGACGGGUGAGUAACACGUGGGUAACCUCCCAUCAGAGGGGAUAACACUUGGAAACAGGUGCUAAACCGAUACUGAUGGAUGGACCCGCGGGGCAUUAGCUAGUUGGGGUGGUAACGGCUCACCAAGGCCACUAUGCAUAGCCGAGCUGAGAGGUGGAUCGGCCACACUGGGACGGAGACACGGCCCAGACGCCUACGGUAGGCAGCGGUAGAGAAGCUGCGGCAAUGGACGAAAGUGUGACCGAGCGACGCCGCGUGAGUGAAGAAGGUGUUCGGAUCGUAAAACUCUGUUGUUAGUGAAGCGGUAUCUAACCAGAAAGCCACGGCUAACUACGUGCCAGCAGCCGCGGUAAUUC
rnacentral:rRNA from 1 species